rnacentral:rRNA from 1 species
GACGAACGCUGGCGGCGUGCCUAAUACAUGCAAGUUGAGCGCUGAAGGUUGGUACUUGUACCAACUGGAUGAGCAGCGCACGGGUGAGUAACGCGUGGGGAAUCUGCCUUUGAGCGGGGGACAACAUUUGGAAACGAAUGCUAAUACCGCAUAAAAACUUUAAACACAAGUUUUAAGUUUGAAAGAUGCAAUUGCAUCACUCAAAGAUGAUCCCGCGUUGUAUUAGCUAGUUGGUGAGGUAAAGGCUCACCAAGGCGAUGAUACAUAGCCGACCUGAGAGGGUGAUCGGCCACAUUGGGACUGAGACACGGCCCAAACUCCUUCGGGAGGCAGCAGUAGGGAAUCUUCGGCAAUGGACGAAAGUCUGACCGAGAAACGCCGAGUGAGUGAAGAAGGUUUUCGGAUCGUAAAACUCUGUUGGUAGAGAAGAACGUUGGUGAGAGUGGAAAGCUCAUCAAGUGACGGUAACUACCCAGAAAGGGACGGCUAACUACGUG